CAUUACCUAGAGUUGUAGGCUUUGCCUGCUAUCUCUUACCCAUGUCUUUUGAGUACUUACGUUUCCUCGGCGGGUCCGCCCGCCGAUUGGACAAUUUAAACCAUUUGCAGUUGCAAUCAGCGUCUGAAAAACUUUAAUAGUUACAACUUUCAACAACGGAUCUCUUGGUUCUGGCAUCGAUGAAGAACGCAGCGAAAUGCGAUAAGUAGUGUGAAUUGCAGAAUUCAGUGAAUCAUCGAAUCUUUGAACGCACAUUGCGCCCCUUGGUAUUCCAUGGGGCAUGCCUGUUCGAGCGUCAUUUGUACCUUCAAGCUUUGCUUGGUGUUGGGUGUUUGUCUCGCCUCUGCGUGUAGACUCGCCUUAAAACAAUUGGCAGCCGGCGUAUUGAUUUCGGAGCGCAGUACAUCUCGCGCUUUGCACUCAUAACGACGACGUCCAAAAGUACAUUUUUACACUCUUGACCUCGGAUCAGGUAGGGAUACCCGCUGAACUUAAGCAUAUCAAUAAGCGGAGGAAAAGAAACCAACAGGGAUUGCCCUAGUAACGGCGAGUGAAGCGGCAACAGCUCAAAUUUGAAAUCUGGCGUCUUUGGCGUCCGAGUUGUAAUUUGCAGAGGGCGCUUUGGCAUUGGCAGCGGUCCAAGUUCCUUGGAACAGGACGUCACAGAGGGUGAGAAUCCCGUACGUGGUCGCUAGCCUUUACCGUGUAAAGCCCCUUCGACGAGUCGAGUUGUUUGGGA
rnacentral:rRNA from 1 species